AUUGAACGCUGGCGGCAUGCUUUACACAUGCAAGUCGAACGGCAGCACGGGAGCUUGCUCCUGGUGGCGAGUGGCGAACGGGUGAGUAAUGCAUCGGAACGUACCCAGUAGUGGGGGAUAGCCCGGCGAAAGCCGGAUUAAUACCGCAUAUUUCCUGAGGGAGAAAGCGGGGGGACCUUCGGGCCUCGCGCUACUGGAACGGCUGAUGUCGGAUUAGCUAGUUGGUGAGGUAAAGGCUCACCAAGGCGACGAUCCGUAGCUGGUCUGAGAGGAUGAUCAGCCACACUGGGACUGAGACACGGCCCAGACUCCUACGGGAGGCAGCAGUGGGGAAUUUUGGACAAUGGGGGCAACCCUGAUCCAGCCAUGCCGCGUGAGUGAAGAAGGCCUCGGUUGUAAGACGUCUUUCUAGUGGAAGAAAGUACACUACCCGAACUAC
rnacentral:rRNA from 1 species